rnacentral:lncRNA from 1 species
CUCUAUAUAUUUAAAGUUAUAAAGUUUCUCUUGGAAAUGCUCUUAAACGAUAAUUGACAACUACAACAACAAAUGUAACGUAAAGAUGAAUUAAUUUUUUACUGUUCAGUUUUAUGUUACAAUUUUUUUUUCAACCGAUAAAAGUUACAUAUAUGAUAUAUACAUCCCAUAUAGAAGGAAAAUACAUGCCUCUGCAUUAUGAAAAAAAAAUUUACAUGAUUUAGUAAAUGGUGAAUUAAUAAUUUAAACAGUCGCUGGCACCAUCUCAACAACGACAUUAAUUAUUUUACAUGUCACCGUUAAGAAAAAUAAAAACUUAUAUCAAUAUGAGAACAAAAAUUAGCUCUUUAUCAAAAAAAAAAACAAAACAAAAAUGUAGCUCUCGUCUAGGUGCAUUAGAAUAUGAUUACUAAAACAAGUACGUCGUAUUUUUUUUUUAAAAGUACGUCUAUUACGUUUUUAGGUACUUCUUAAAGUUACAAUUAUAGUUUAUAUCCUCGUUUGUCAUCUGAUGAAGAAGUGUAAUUUAAUUUAGCAUUUCUAUAAAGAUACUUGUAAGAUAAACAAAGACCCGGUAGCAAAAAAAUGAAAAAAUGGGUUUGUCAAAAAAAAAAAUGUAAAAAUGGGAAGACGAAAGAGCAUGCCGUAUGGGGAUCGGCUACUCUAUAAUUUCUAUACACAUUUAGGGUCUAACAGGCUUAAACGCAGCGGUUGCGAUUGCGGUUGUGGAAAUUUACGGAUGCGGGUGGUUGUGGUUUCUAGCGGUUUUAAAAUAUUUGUACGACUUAUUAUGCGGUUAAAAAUUAGUGCGUUUGCGGGAUAGUUAUGACUGGUUAAUUACCAAAUGCAGCAAUGGUUAAAUAAUAAAUUAAUAAUAAUUACAUUUUAUAUAAUUAUAAAAUAUCAAAAAUCAUAUAAAAAUUAUUUUAUUUUAGAAAAUAAUUAUAGAAAAUAAUUUUUUAUUUUAAAAUUUUAUAAUUUCAAUUUUAUAAUAUUUUUAUAAUUCCAAUUUAAAUUUUUUUAUUUUUAUAUUUGUAUUUAUAUAUAUAUAUAGGGAAAAUCGCAUAAAAAACCUUGAAAGUGUCACUUACUAGCACUUUAAACCUUGAAGUUUUUUCACUAACACUUUUAACCUUCAAAGUGAUAUUUUUAUCAUAAAAAACCUCCAAAGAAGAAAAAUGACCUGCUGAACAGGUUAAAAACAGUUUUUUUUCAAAAAAUAAUUAUUUAAUUAAUAAAUAAACAAAAAUAAUAAUAAAAUUAAAAAAUUUAACAAAAAACUCAUAAAUUAAAAAAGUGAGAAAAAUAAAUAAAGAUUUAGAAAAUUAAAUAAAAAAUAACUAAAAAUUAAAAAAUAAAUAAGAUCAAAUUAAAAUACAGAAAAAAUAAUAAUAAAUUUCAAAAAAUUGAAAAUUCAAAAAGUUUUUUUUUUCGUUUUCAAAUAUAAUGUCAGAAAUUAUCAUUGGAGAUAUGUGUUGAUAAAAAAAAAAGACUAAGAUAACACCAAACCAGGUUUUUGUUCUCAAACUAGUAUUCAAGGCUCAAAGUCACAAAAAUAAGUUUCAUUAAAGAAGUAAAUAUACACUUAUAUCCCUUUGGUUAAUUAAUCCAAACUUUAAGGUUUAUAGUUAAUGGGUGAGGUUUUAGAAUUAGGGUUUAAAAUUUUAUAAAAUAAAAAAUAAAUACUAAAAAAAUAAAAAUAAAAAUAAAAAAAACAGUUUCAAAAAAUUUCACUUUUUUUUUAAAUUUUUGAUUUUUUUAUUUUUCUCCAUUUUAAUUUGAUCUUAUUUAUUUUUUGAAUUUUUUGUUAUUUUUUAUUUAAUUUUUAAAUAUUUAUUUAUUUUUCUCAUUUUUUAAUUUGUGAGUUUUUUUGUUAAAUUUUUCAAUUUUUAUUAAUUUUUUUGUUUAUUUUAUUAAUUAAAUAAUUAUUUUUUGAAAAAAAACUGUUUUUAACCUGUUCAACCGGUCAUUUUUCUUGUUUGGAGGUUUUUUAUGAUAAAAAUGUCACUUUGAAGGUUAAAAGUGCUAGCGAAAAAACUUCAAGGUUUAAAGUGCUAGUAAGUGACACUUUCAAGGUUUUUUAUGCGAUUUUUCCUAUAUAUAUAUAUAUAUAUUUUAAAUUAUAUCAUCCCACAACCGCAAACUUAAGAAGAAACCAGCUUUUGAAUUUAUAAAGUUUAUAGCGGUUUGAAGCGGUUUAGAGCGGUUUGAGUGGUUUGAGUGAUUGUUGAAAAACAUCAACAACCGCUACCAACAUCAAAAGCUGCGUUUGUGGGUGGUAGCGGGGGAACCAAUCAUACCCUAAACGUGCAUGUGUAGACACGUCGUAUGACAUUGAUGGAAGUGUACACAUCUUUACAUUACUAGGAGUCUUACUGGUUCAAACGUUUGCGGAUGCGGGUGAUUGCGGUUUUUAGCGGUUUUUAGAGAUUUGUAUGACUGGUUCUGUGGUUAGAAAUUAUUGCGUUUGAAAGAUAUUU